rnacentral:tRNA from 1 species
GGGUGAAUAGCUCAGCUGGGAGAGCACCUGCCUUACAAGCAGGGGGUCACAGGUUCGAGCCCUGUUUCGCCCACCA